AAUUACUGUUUUCUUUUCCUUGGUCAUAUUUUCCUUCUAAUAUCCUUGUUUUCUAACAUCUAAGAGAAUCACAUUGAACUUGCGGCCUUGUUGCUAGGUUUCAAGCUGAUUUUAUGCAGUCUACUGAGACACUAUUUUCGUUUUUGAAUUCUGAAUCAAGUCCCAAGGCAACAGGGCCCUGUUUCUUAGCAACACAGAUGGGCAGACCAUAUAUUCCAGUGCUUUUGUGCAAGGGAAGAAUAAACAUCUCCCUGAAUAAGGGUGUGCUGCAAGUUGAUCUCUUUGCUUAACUUCCCCUAGAACAGAGGAACGAGAGGCAUUCUGUGAUACAUCACAUGAAGUUUGUCAGGAAGUCCCUGUUUUUGCAAGUCGUAUGCAACAGAUUUACCACAUCUUGUGUCAAGUUACUCCAGAGAUCCUUUAAAUGUGAAGUUAAAAUCACAUCCUUCCAACAGAGGCUGCUGACAGCUUACAGCACCCUCCAACACAGCUCCCAUGCCUGGCUGCCAGAGCCCUGGGAGGAACAGAAAAAUGCCUGAGAAAUAAGCCACUAUCUGCUUCCACCUGGUCUAGAGUAAACUUCUCAAUGGGGGUUUUCACCAGUGAAAUCUGUUUGCUGUACAAAUGCAUUUUCUUACAUGAUAUUUGGUACUAGCCUGACGUGAACUUGCAUGGUGAUGACUAUUUAAAUGUCAAUGUUUUUCCUUUCACAGAAAUCUCAGACUAAACAGUAGGGUGCUGAUGAGAAAGCAAUGUGGUAAAGACUUCACAGUCUUAUCCAUGUUAACAUACCAGCCUUCUGUUUCUAUGAAAUCUGUACAUAUGCAAAUGCUAUGGAGGAUGCUAGCAGUCCUGAGCUGUGUCUGUAUUACCCUGUUAGGACAGAGGAAGAUCUGCUUUGCUCUUGAGUCUGCAUCUGGAUUGAGAGCUGAAGCUCAGCAUGGUCAGGUAGUUUCAAUUCCUUUCAAAAAGAGCAUGUGAGGAUGCUCAAUGUAGCACUUUCAAGUCAUAGCCUGCAUUGCUGAGGGCUUUGGGGAAAUGUCCAGAGAUAGAUUUGGACUAAAACUUCCAGAUUUAGAUUGUAAGUAAACUGAAGAGUAUAUACUUACAACGUAGCGAUUUAGCAUAAGAAAAUUGCAUAGCUGGCUGUUUUGCCCUUUCCAAAAGACAAUGAUUUAUAUACCACUGUGGAAAGCUCAGAACACUAGAGACAAUUCCUUAAGCAAUGAUCUCAUAGCUCUGUGUGCGCUGGUGUGAAGUUUGACAUUUUUCUGGGAUUUAACAGAUGCAAUCCUUAGUGAAGAGAAAAAAUUACGUAGAAUAUUAAAAUUUUAAAAAGGCACUUUUUUUUUUUUUUUUGUUAAACACAUCUUCCUAUCAGUCAGGGAGGAAUUGUGUCGUAUUUUCAGACACUAGUUUGGAAAGAAUAAAAUCUCUGGGAAAUUUCCCUGCCUGGAAUUU
rnacentral:lncRNA from 1 species